UUAUGGCUCAGGAUGGACGCUAGCUACAGGCUUAACACAUGCAAGUCGAGGGGCAGCACGAGAUUAGCUUGCUAAUCUGAUGGCGACCGGCGCACGGGUGAGUAACGCGUAUCCAACCUUCCCCCUACUCAGGCAUAGCCCGGUGAAAACCGGAUUAACUCCUGAUAGUUUCACUAGAUGGCAUCUGACGGUGAAUAAAGCUUUGCGGUAAGGGAUGGGGAUGCGUCUGAUUAGCUUGUUGGCGGGUAACGGCCCACCAAGGCGACGAUCAGUAGGGGUUCUGAGAGGAAGGUCCCCCACAUUGGAACUGAGACACGGUCCAAACUCCUACGGGAGGCAGCAGUGAGGAAUAUUGGUCAAUGGGCGCGAGCCUGAACCAGCCAAGUAGCCGUGCAGGAAGACGGCCCUAUGGGUUGUAAACUGCUUUUGUAUGGGAAUAAAGUCAGGGACGUGUCCCUGUUUGCAUGUACCAUAAGAAUAAGGACCGGCUAAUUCCGUGCCAGCCGCGGC
rnacentral:rRNA from 1 species